rnacentral:tRNA from 3 species
GCCUCCGUAGCUCAGGGGAUAGAGCACCGCUCUCCUAAAGCGGGUGUCGGCAGUUCGAAUCUGCCCGGGGGCAC